rnacentral:rRNA from 1 species
GACGUAGGGCGCGAGCGUUGUCCGGAUUUAUUGGGCGUAAAGAGCUCGUAGGCGGUUUGUCGCGUCUGCCGUGAAAGUCCGGGGCUCAACUCCGGAUCUGCGGUGGGUACGGGCAGACUAGAGUGAUGUAGGGGAGACUGGAAUUCCUGGUGUAGCGGUGAAAUGCGCAGAUAUCAGGAGGAACACCGAUGGCGAAGGCAGGUCUCUGGGCAUUAACUGACGCUGAGGAGCGAAAGCUAGGGGAGCGAACAGG